rnacentral:rRNA from 1 species
AGUGAACGCUGGCGGUAGGCCUAACACAUGCAAGUCGAACGGCAGCACAGUAAGGGCUUGCUCUUACGGGUGGCGAGUGGCGGACGGGUGAGGAAUACAUCGGAAUCUACUUUUUCGUGGGGGAUAACGUAGGGAAACUUACGCUAAUACCGCAUACGACCUACGGGUGAAAGCAGGGGAUCUUCGGACCUUGCGCGAUUGAAUGAGCCGAUGUCGGAUUAGCUAGUUGGCGGGGUAAAGGCCCACCAAGGCGACGAUCCGUAGCUGGUCUGAGAGGAUGAUCAGCCACACUGGAACUGAGACACGGUCCAGACUCCUAUGGGAGGCAGCAGUGGGGAAUAUUGGACAAUGGGCGCAAGCCUGAUCCAGCCAUACCGCGUGGGUGAAGAAGGCCUUCGGGUUGUAAAGCCCUUUUGUUGGGAAAGAAAAGCAGCAGGUUAAUACCCCGCUGUUCUGACGGUACCCAAAGAAUAAGCACCGGCUAACUUCGUG